UACGGAGGGUGCAAGCGUUGCUCGGAAUUAUUGGGCGUAAAGGGCAGGUAGGUGGUCUUAUUUGUCUAGGGUGAAAUCCUUGAGCUUAACUCAAGAAGUGCCCUAGAAACGGUGAGACUAGAGUCUUGGAGAGGGUCGUGGAAUUCCCGGUGUAGCGGUGAAAUGCGUAGAGAUCAGGAGGAACACCGAUGGCGAAGGCAGAUCUCUGGGCCGUAACUGACGCUGAGGAGCGAAAGCAUGGGGAGCGAACAGG
rnacentral:rRNA from 1 species